rnacentral:lncRNA from 1 species
UCUUGCUCAACCACUGUGUCCCUACAGGCGUGAGCCACCGCGCCCGGCCUAGAACCAUUUUUUUUUAUACCUCAGUGUUCAAGGACACCUCCCGCCCUGGGAAUAACUUGAAGCUUCUUCUUGCCCUCACCUACUAUCAGGCAUUUCCAGCCCCUCCCUGCAGACCUUGGCUCAGGCUGUCCCCUCUGCGCCGUGCAUGCGUGUCCCCCCCUCCAGGAAGCCUUCUCUGACUGCCCUGGCUGGGCCUCAGUUUCCCUGGGUUCCCCCAGCCACAACCACCCUGCCCUCAUCUUCGCUCAACCGCCAACUUGGAAGCAACUGCGUCCAGCUCUGGCGACCUGUACCCCAAAUUGGAAGUCAUUUACUUACUCAUUGGAUUCAUAAUUAUUGGGCACCAGCUGUAUACCAGACUCAUGUGUUCAGGCAUGGGGACACAGGUGUGACCGAGACAGCUACAAAGCCCUACCCUUAUGGGGCUCCCAGUCCCGUGGGGAGACGGGGGUACACUACACACAUUAACCAAUAUCAGAACUCGAUAGCUUCUGACAAUAAUA